ACUCCUACGGGAGGCAGCAGUGGGGAAUUUUGCGCAAUGGGGGAAACCCUGACGCGGCAACGCCGCGUGAGUGAUGAAGGCCCUUGGGUCGUAAAGCUCUGACAGAGGGAAAGAAAUGUGGGUGGCUAAUAUCCAUUCCACUUGACGGUACCCUCAAAGGAAGCACCGGCUAACUCCGUGCCAGCAGCCGCGGUAAUACGGAGGGUGCGAGCGUUGUUCGGAUUUAUUGGGCGUAAAGCGCGUGUAGGCGGUUUUAUAAGUCUGAUGUGAAAGCCCCGGGCUCAACCUGGGAAGUGCAUUGGAUACUGUAAGACUUGAAUACGGGAGAGGGCAGUGGAAUUCCUGGUGUAGGAGUGAAAUCCGUAGAUAUCAGGAGGAACACCGGUGGCGAAGGCGGCUGCCUGGACCGAUAUUGACGCUGAGACGCGAAAGCGUGGGUAGCAAACAGGAUUAGAUACCCUGGUAGUCCACGCUGUAAACGAUGAGAACUAGGUGUCGCGGGUA
rnacentral:rRNA from 1 species